AGCAGCCGCGGUAAUUCCAGCUCCAAUAGCGUGUAUUAAAGUUGUUGCAGUUAAAAAGCUCGUAGUUGAAUUUCGGGAUUAGUAAGUUGGUCGUGCCUCUGGUAUGUACUGGCUUUACUGGUUCCUCCUUCUUGAAGAACUGUAAUGUCAUUAAUUUGGUGUUGCAGGGAAACAGGACUGUUACUUUGAAAAAAUUAGAGUGUUUAAAGCAGGCUAACGCUUGAAUACAUUAGCAUGGAAUAAUGAAAUAGGACGUUUGAUCCUAUUUUGUUGGUUUCUAGGAUUGACGUAAUGAUUAAUAGGGAUAGUUGGGGGCAUUAGUAUUCAAUUGUCAGAGGUGAAAUUCUUGGAUUUAUUGAAGACUAACUACUGCGAAAGCAUUUGCCAAGGAUGUUUUCAUUAAUCAAGAACGAAAGUUAGGGGAUCGAAGACGAUCAGAUACCGUCGUAGUCUUAACCAUAAACUAUGCCGACUAGGGAUCGGAUGAUGUUAAUUUUUUAAUGACUCAUUCGGCGCCUUA
rnacentral:rRNA from 1 species